GACAGAGGGUGCAAACGUUGUUCGGAAUUACUGGGCGUAAAGCGUGUGUAGGCGGCUAUGUAAGUCGGAUGUGAAAGCCCUGGGCUCAACCCAGGAAGUGCACUCGAUACUGCGUAGCUAGAGUACCGGAGAGGUUGGUGGAAUUCUCGGUGUAGAGGUGAAAUUCGUAGAUAUCGAGAGGAACACCGGUGGCGAAGGCGGCCUUCUGGACAGUGACUGACGCUGAGACGCGAAAGCGUGGGGAGCAAACAGG
rnacentral:rRNA from 1 species